UAAAGCGGAUCUCCACCCUCAUUAGGACCACACACAUAUCUAACUACUGCUCCGACGUGACACUGAAUCGGCUAGUUACAGUUUACUAACUUAUUCUGUACCUUAUUUUCCAGCGUUGUUUCCGGUCUGCCCCCCCCCACGGGUUUUCGUCGGGUUUCUGGCGCUUCCUGCGCCGCGCUGUGCAUGCUGGUUGCUCUAGUCCUAGCUGGUAAUAUUCGUCUGUAAUCUAACAUCGCGCGACUUCAUUGUGGAGGAAGUGACGCGGAUGUAAACAGAGGAAAGGGGCGGGCGUUUUAAACUCCAUUACAGAUGUUACUGAUACUGUACGGUACGGUGAAGCAAGCACAGCUGAUGUCUCGUGGCAAUCAAUCCAACUCUAAUCCAUCCGUUCUCAUCUAGUUCUAAGACAUAUCGUUUUGGAGAAAUUCUUACUAUUCAUUACUACUUGAUCUUUAUCCUCUGAUUUUAACAUCAGGGAAAAUUACCUUAUACGAAAUUUGGAUUCAAUACUUCUUGUUCUUUAUCGUCUACUUUUUAACCAGAAUGAAAAGACAAGUGGAUUUUGAUUUAUCAAAACCAUGCCAUAAAUCAAAAAAAAGGGUUAUUUUAUUUUAAUAAAUUAUAUAUUUUAUAUUUUAUCUAUAUUUAUAUAUUUUUUUUUUUUUUUUUAAUUGUCUUUAGUAAGCAUAAUUUUCUACUCUGAUCCUAUAAUUUAACCUGAAUCCCCCUCUCUUUCCCUAUCGAUCCCUUACAGUGAUCAUUUACUGUAUUUUUUUUUUAACCCUCUACUUUAUAUCUAUCUAAAAAACCUCUGAAAACUAUAAGAAUAUCUAUAACCGUGAAUCCCCCACUACCCACACAACCUAAUAUCUCUCUAUGCACCACCACCCCCCCACUCUUUCAUCUAUCCUUUUCUAUAGCCACCCAAACCCACUAUGCUAUUUCUCUAUCCCCCAUCACUUCUCUCUCUAUAACCACCCACUCUCCCAUCUCUCUAUCCACCACCGCCUCAAAUCUCAUCUCUCUAUCCAUCAUUGUCUGACCUCUGUACCUCACACCCCCCCCCCCACUCUCAUCUCUCUAUGUACAACCUCCCCCACAAAUCUAAGAUUUCUAUUUCUAUCCACUACCACACUCUAACAUCUCUCCAUACACCACCAACUCUCUAAUCUGUCUAACCACCCCCCCACCCCCCACACUCUAAUGUCUAUAUCCACCACCACUCACUCUAUCAUGACUCUAUCAAUUAAUGUCUCAAUUAUCUACUCCCCCCCCCCCCCCCCCCACCCACUCUCACUUCUCUAUAUACAACAACCAACACCACCACACUAAUCUAACAUCUCUCUUUCUACCACAACCACAUUCUUUCACCUCUCUAUGCCCCCUUUUUAUUUUUUAACUACACAUAUUUUAUUAAUUUUAUUUCAACUAUCUUAAUUUUAUUAAUUGUCUUACUAUUGGUUCUGCUUGUUUUGAAAAAAUAAUUAAUGUUGUAUUAUUAAUAACAUGUUUUUUUUUAACAUAUUUACAUGUAUCUUUCUUCUUUUAUAUAAUUUUAGAUUCUAUCUCAUUUUAAAUUUUCAAACAACAUAUUUCACUGUCCACCUUUAUCCCCUCUCUCUCUGUCAAACUGUUUACUAUUCUAUAUUCCACGUCUAUAUUAGAAUUUCAAAAUUUCUUUAACAAAUAGAAACCAACCACCCCCC